CAGUCAAACUCCGAAUGCCAAAGUGUAUAAAUAUAGCAGUGAGCCUAUGGGGGAUAAGCUCCAUAGACGAGAGGGAAACAACCCAGAUCAUCAGCUAAGGCCCCUAAAUGUAUGUUAAGUGUGAAACGAUGUGAGAGUGUUCAGACAGCCAGGAGGUUGGCUUAGAAGCAGCCAUUCCUUUAAAGAGUGCGUAACAGCUCACUGGUCGAAUGUUCUCGCGCGGAAGAUGUAACGGGGCUAAACAUACUGCCGAAGCUAUGGGAUCUUACUAAUCUUGAUAUUUAUAUCCAGGAGGUAAGAUCGGUAGGAGAGCGUUGUAUGGACAGCGAAGUAACAACGUGAGUUAGUUAUGGAGACCAUACAAGUGAGAAUGUUGGCAUGAGUAGCGAAGGAAGAGUGAGAAUCUCUUCCGCCGAAUGUCCAAGGGUUCCUGGGGAAGGUUCGUCCGCCCAGGGUUAGUCGGGACCUAAGACGAGGUCGAGAGACGUAGCCGAUGGAUAACAGAUUGAUAUUUCUGUACCACUAAUAAGACACCCAAACCGAAUAUAUGUUGCUAAGGAAAGCCCUUCGGGGCCUACCGAACCACAUAUUUUUAGGUUAGCAAAGGAGUGACGGAGAAGGAUAGGUGAACCCAGGCGAUGGUUGUCCUGGGGUAAAUGUGUAGGAUGGUUAAUAGGCAAAUCCGUUAACCUUAUAUCUGAGACAUGAUGCCGAGCCGCUUUUAGGCGAAGUCAUUAAUUCCAUGCUUCCAAGAAAAACUUCUAGUUAGUUUUAAUAGUGCCCGUACCCGAAACCGACACAGGUGGACAAGUAGAGAAUACUAAGGCGAGCGAGACAACUCUGGUUAAGGAACUCGGCAAAAUAGUUCCGUAACUUCGGAAGAAGGAACGCCCAAGUAAAGUGAAUGAUUAACUUCAUUAGCUUGAAAGGGCCGCAGUGAUCAGACUCAAGCGACUGUUUAUCAAAAACACAGGAGGGUGCAAAGUUCUAAUACAACGUAUACCCUCUGACACCUGCCCGGUGCUGGAAGGUUAAGUGGAUAGGUUAGCUUCGGCGAAGCUUUGAAGUUAAGCCCCAGUAAACGGCGGCCGUAACUAUAACGGUCCUAAGGUAGCGAAAUUCCUUGUCGGGUAAGUUCCGACCUGCACGAAUGGUGUAACGAUUUGAGUACUGUCUCAACCAGAGACUCGGCGAAAUUGCAAUGUGAGUAAAGAUGCUCACUAUGCGCGACAGGACGGAAAGACCCCGGAACCUUUACUGCAACUUGAUAUUGAUGUUUAAUGUGCAGUAUGCAGGAUAAGUGGGAGACUUUGAUUUAGAUGC
rnacentral:rRNA from 1 species